CAGGGGAUCUUGCGCAAUGGACUGUAUGGUCUGACGCAGCGACACCGCGUGGAGGAUGAAUGCUUUAGGGUUGUAAACUCCUUUUCUUAGGGAAGAUGAUGACGGUACCUAAGGAAUAAGCAUCGGCUAACUACGUGCCAGCAGCCGCGGUAAUACGUAGGAUGCGAGCGUUGUCCGGAAUUAUUGGGCGUAAAGGGCGUCUAGGUUGAAUAAUAAGUCCUGUGUGAAAUCUCUUGGCUCAACCAAGAAAUGUCACAGGAAACUAUUAAUCUAGAGGUCAUCAGAGGUAAGUGGAAUUCACGGAGUAGUGGUGAAAUGCGUAGAUACCGUGAGGAACACCAGAGGCGAAAGCGACUUACUAGGAUGAACCUGACACUAAAGCGCGAAAGCGUGGGUAGCAAACCGG
rnacentral:rRNA from 1 species